rnacentral:rRNA from 1 species
AGAGUUUGAUCCUGGCUCAGAACGAACGCUGGCGGCGCGCCUAACACGUGCAAGUCGAGCGAGAACGGUCUUUGGACUUAGUAAAGCGGUGUACGGGUGAGUAAUACGUGGGUAAUCUACCUUCUGGUGGGGAAUAACGUUUCGAAAGAAGCGCUAAUACCGCAUAAGACCAUAGUGGCUAUGACUACAGGGGUCAAAGGGGGUCAACUUCGGUUGGCGCUCGCCAGAAGACGAGCCCGCGGCCCAUUAGAUAGUUGGUGGGGUAAUGGCCCACCAAGUCUACGAUGGGUAGCUGGUUUGAGAGAAUGAUCAGCCACACUGGAACUGAGAUACGGUCCAGACUCCUAUGGGAGGCAGUAGUGGGGAAUUUUGCGUAAUAGACGAAAGUCUGACGCAGCGACGCCGCGUGGGUGAUGAAGGCCUUCGGGUCGUAAAGCCCUGUCAAGGGGAAAGAAUAUGGUGCGUGGUAAUUCCGCAUCAUUGAUGGUACCCCUGAAGGAAGCACUGGUUAAUUCCGUGCCAGUAGUUGUGGUAAUACGGGGAGUGCAAGCGUUGUUCGGAAUUAUUGGGCGUAAAGAGCAUGUAGGCUGCUUUGUAAGUCUGGAGUGAAAUCCCUCGGCCCAACCGAGGAGGCGCUUCAGAAACUACUUGGCUUGAAUCCUGGAGGGGCAAGUGGAAUUCCCAGUGUAGGGGUGAAAUCCGUAGAUAUUGGGAGGAACACCGGUGGCGAAGGCGACUUGCUGGACAGUGAUCGACGCUGAGAUGCGAAAGCGUAGGUAGUAAAUAGGAUUAGAUACCUUGGUAGUCCACGCCGUAAACGAUGAAUACUAGUUGUCUCGGGUAUUGACCCCUGAGGUGACGAAGUUAAUGUGUUAAGUAUUCCGCCUGGGGAGUACGGCCGUAAGGCUAAAGCUCAAAGGAAUUGACGGGGGCCCGCACAAGCGGUGGAGCAUGUGGUUUAAUUCGAUGCAAUGCGAAGAACCUUACCUGGGCUUGACAUCUGGAGAAUCUGUCCGAAAAGACGGGGUGCCCUUUGGGGAAUUCCAAGACAGGUGCUGCAUGGCUGUCGUCAGCUCGUGUCGUGAGAUGUUGGGUUAAGUCCCGCAACGAGCGCAACCCUCGUCCUUAGUUGCCAGCAUUAAGUUGGGGACUCUAAGGAUACUGCCGGUGUUAAACCGGAGGAAGGCGGGGACGACGUCAAGUCAUCAUGGCCCUUAUGCCCAGGGCUACACACGUGCUACAAUGGUCGGUACAAUGUGUUGCUAACUCGCGAGAGGGAGCUAAUCACAAAAAACCGGCCUCAGUUCGGAUUGGAGUCUGUAAUUCGACUCCAUGAAGUCGGAAUCGCUAGUAAUCGGAGAUUAGUAUGCUCCGGUGAAUACGUUUUUGGGCCUUGUAUAUAUUGCCCGUCACACCAUGGGAGUUGUUUGCACCAGAAGUUGUU